GAUGAAGAACGUAGCGAAAUGCGAUAAGUAAUGCGAAUUGCAGAAUUCAGUGAAUCAUCGAAUCUUUGAACGCACAUUGCGCCUGCUAGUAUUCUGGCGGGCAUGCCUGUCUGAGCGUCAUUUCAACCCUCGCCCCCGGCUUUUGCUGGGAGCGGUGUUGGGGAUCGGCCGCCCGUCACUGGGAGGCCGGCCCCGAAAUAGAGUGGCGACCACGCCGUGUGCUCCUCUGCGUAGUAGUAAAUCUCCUCGCAGGCGGACAGCGGUGCGGCCUGCCGUAAAACCCCCAACUCUUUCUGGUUGACCUCAGAUCAGGUAGGAAUACCCGCUGAACUUAAGCAUAUCAAUAAGCGGAGGA
rnacentral:misc_RNA from 1 species